AGAAUUUUAAAAAGAGCUUUCUUUCAAAUUCAAAUGAAGUUAAAGGCUAUACAUAAGUAAUUCCUUACAUCCAUGUACUUCGACCUUUUCAUUUCACAAUCAUAAAAAUAAAAUUGAGAAUGGAAAUGGGGAAUGUGUCAAAGAGACAACAACCCGACCAAAUAAAAAAACAACAGCAGAAGGUCACCAACAGGUCUUCAAUGUAGCGAGAAAUUCCUUCAGCCGGCCCCUAAACAAAUAUAUACUAGUUCAGUGAUAAUGAACGCCAUACUAAUUUUUUAAAUUGUACACAAGAAACUAAAUCAAAAUAAUACAAGACUAACAAAGGCCAGAGGCUUCUGACUUGGGACGGGCGCAAAAAUGCAGUGGGGUUAAACAUGUUUGUGAGAUCUCAACCCUCCCCCUAUACCUCUAACCAAUGUAGAAAAGUAAACGCAUAACAAUACGCACAUUAAAAUUCAGUUCAAAAGAAGUCCGAUUCUGAUGUCAGAAGAUGUAAACAAGAAAAUAAACAAAAUGACAAUAAUACAUAAAUUUAACAACAUACUACUAGCAGUUAACUGACAUGCCAGCUCCAGACUUCAAUUAAACUGACUGAAAGAUUACACAUCUCCUUAUUUUCUAAGGGAGGUAUGCAAAC
rnacentral:lncRNA from 1 species